AGUUCUUUUAGAUGAAUUCUGCCUUCAGCGAAGUCAGUGGUAAAACUUCCAUUGACUUAAAUGGGAACAGAAUUAGG
rnacentral:miRNA from 1 species